CCUACGGGUGGCAGCAGUGAGGAAUAUUGGUCAAUGGCCGAGAGGCUGAACCAGCCAAGUCGCGUGAGGGAAGACGGCCCUACGGGUUGUAAACCUCUUUUGUCGGGGAGCAAAGCGAACCACGUGUGGUUCAUUGAGAGUACCCGAAGAAAAAGCAUAGGCUAACUCCGUGCCAGCAGCCGCGGUAAUACGGAGGAUGCGAGCUUUAUCCGGAUUUAUUGGGUUUAAAGGGUGCGCAGGCGGAGGUGCAAGUCAGCGGUCAAAUUGCGGGGCUCAACCCCGUACUGCCGUUGAAACUGCAUCCCUUGAGUGCGCGAGAAGUAGGCGGAAUGCGUGGUGUAGCGGUGAAAUGCGUAAAUAUAUGUAAGAACACCAGUGGCGAAGGCGGCUUGCUGGGUCGAUACUGACAUUGAGGCACGAAAGCGUGGGGAGCAAACAGGAUUAGAUACCCUUGUAGUC
rnacentral:rRNA from 1 species